AACGAACGCUGGCGGCAGGCCUAACACAUGCAAGUCGAGCGGACCCUUCGGGGUUAGCGGCGGACGGGUGAGUAACGCGUGGGAAUAUGCCCUUCUCUACGGAAUAGUCCUGGGAAACUGGGGGUAAUACCGUAUACGCCCUUUGGGGGAAAGAUUUAUCGGGGAAGGAUUAGCCCGCGUUGGAUUAGGUAGUUGGUGGGGUAAUGGCCUACCAAGCCGACGAUCCAUAGCUGGUUUGAGAGGAUGAUCAGCCACACUGGGACUGAGACACGGCCCAGACUCCUACGGGAGGCAGCAGUGGGGAAUCUUAGACAAUGGGGGCAACCCUGAUCUAGCCAUGCCGCGUGAGUGAUGAAGGCCUUAGGGUUGUAAAGCUCUUUCAGCUGGGAAGAUAAUGACGGUACCAGCAGAAGAAACCCCGGCGAACUCCGU
rnacentral:rRNA from 1 species